UAUAGAUUUUAUAAACACAACAUUCUAUUAACAUACAUUGGGGUAAAUGGAGCAACAUAGACCUGGAAGGUCUACAAAAGGUGCACAGGUGGAGAUAUAAAGAUGACAAGGCGUGCACAUGCUCCCUAGAGAACCAGCAACAACCCAUCAGGUUUAUUUCAAUAAUGAUCCUUCCGCAGGUUCACCUACGGAAA
rnacentral:misc_RNA from 1 species